rnacentral:rRNA from 1 species
UCCCGUUGAUCCUGCGGGAGAUCGCUGCUAUUAGGAUUCGACUAAGCCAUGCAAGUCAGGGAGCAAUCCCGGCAAAAUGCUCAGUAACACGUUGAUAAUCUGCCCUUAGGUCUAGGAUAACCCUGGGAAACUGGGAAUAAUACUGGAUAUGAGAAAAACACUGGAAGGUGUUUUCUUUGAAAGGUAACGCCUAAGGAUGAGUCAGCGGCCGAUUAGGCUGUUGGUGGGGUAAAGGCCCACCAAACCAUGGAUCGGUAGGGGCCUUGAGAGAGGGAGCCCCGAGAAGGGCACUGAGAUACUGGCCCUAGCCCUACGGGGUGCAGCAGGCGCGAAACCUUUACAAUGCACGAAAGUGUGAUAAGGGAAUCCUAAGUGCUUAUGUUUUACAUAGGCUUUUGCCAAGGGUAAAUACCUUGGAGAAUAAGUGGUGGGUAAGACUGGUGCCAGCCGCCGCGGUAACACCAGCGCCACAAGUGGUGGUCACUAUUAUUGGGCCUAAAGCGUUCGUAGCUGGUUUGAUAAAUCUUUUGUGAAAUAGUUGAGCUUAACUCAAUUAAUUGCUGGAGAGACUGUCAAACUUGGGACCGGGAGGAGUCAGAAGUAUUUCUAGGGGAGCGGUAAAAUGCUAUAAUCCUAGAAGGACUACCUGUGGCGAAGGCGUCUGACUAGAACGGAUCCGACAGUGAGGGACGAAAGCCAGGGGAGCAAACCGGAUUAGAUACCCGAGUAGUCCUGGCCGUAAACGCUGUGAGUUAGGUGUUACAUAUUCUACGGGAAUAUGUAGUGUCGAAGCGAAGGCAUUAAACUCACCGCCUGGGAAGUACGGUCGCAAGACUGAAACUUAAAGGAAUUGGCGGGGGAGCACUACAAGGGGUGCGGCGUGCGGUUUAAUCUAAUUCUACGCAGAGAAUCUCACCAAGGGCGACGGCAGGAUGAAAGUCAGUCUAACGGGCUUACUUGACGAGCCGAGAGGUAGUGCAUGGCCGCCGUCAGCUCGUGCUGUGAAGUGUCCUGUUAAGUCAGGCAACGAGCGAGACCUGUAUCCACAAUUGCUAACAGUUCCUUUGGAAGACUGAGCACAUUGUAGAGACUGCCUUGGAAACAAGGAGGAAGGUGCAGGCUACGGUAGGUCUGUAUGCUCCGAAUCCUUUGGGCUACACGCGCGCAACAAUGAUAAGGACAAUGGGCUACAACUCCGAAAGGAGAAGUUAAUCCUCUAAACCUUACCCAAGUACAGAUUGAGGAUUGUAAUUCAUCCUCAUGACGAUGGAAUCCCUAGUAAUCGGACGUCAUCAUCGUCCGGUGAAUGUGUCCCUGCUCCUUGCACACACCGCCCGUCAAACCACUCGAGCAGGGUUUGGGUGAGCAUUAGCCUUUUAGUUAAUGCGAAUCUAAGCUCAGUGAGAUGGGUUAAGUCGUCACAAGGUA